rnacentral:rRNA from 1 species
AGAGUUUGAUCAUGGCUCAGAGUGAACGCUGGCGGCAUGCUUUACACAUGCAAGUCGAACGGCAGCACGGGAGCUUGCUCCUGGUGGCGAGUGGCGAACGGGUGAGUAAUGCACCGGAACGUACCCAGUAAUGGGGGAUAACACAUCGAAAGAUGUGCUAAUACCGCAUACGCCCUGAGGGGGAAAGCGGGGGAUCGUAAGACCUCGCGUUAUUGGAGCGGCCGAUGCCGGAUUAGCUAGUUGGUGAGGUAAGAGCUCACCAAGGCGACGAUCCGUAGCUGGUCUGAGAGGACGACCAGCCACACUGGAACUGAGACACGGUCCAGACUCCUACGGGAGGCAGCAGUGGGGAAUCUUGCGCAAUGGGCGAAAGCCUGACGCAGCGACGCCGCGUGUGCGAUGAAGGUCUUCGGAUCGUAAAGCACUGUCGCGAGGGAAGAACGCCCGCAAGGGCUUGACGGUACCUCGAGAGGAAGCACCGGCUAACUCUGUGCCAGCAG